rnacentral:rRNA from 1 species
CCGCCGGCGACCGGCGCACGGGUGAGUAACACGUAUGCAACCUGGCCGUGACAGAUGGAUAACCGGGAGAAAUCCCGCCUAAUACAACAUAAUGCCGGGAGGGGGACAUCCCCUGCCGGUCAAAGGGGGCGACCCCGGUCAUGGAUGGGCAUGCGGCGCAUUAGGUAGUUGGUGGGGCAACGGCCCACCAAGCCGACGAUGCGUAGGGGUUCUGAGAGGAAGGUCCCCCACAUUGGAACUGAGACACGGUCCAAACUCCUACGGGAGGCAGCAG